UACGAAGGGGGCUAGGCGUUGCUCGGAAUCACUGGGCGUAAAGGUGCGUAGGCGGGUCUUUAAGUCAGGGGUGAAAUCCUGGAGCUCAACUCCAGAACCUGCCUUUGAUACUGAGGAUCUUGAGUUCGGGAGAGGUGAGUGGAACUGCGAGUGUAGAGGUGAAAUUCGUAGAUAUUCGCAAGAACACCAGUGGCGAAGGCGGACUC
rnacentral:rRNA from 1 species